rnacentral:rRNA from 1 species
GUUAUAUGGUCAAGUGAAGAAGCGCAUACGGUGGAUGCCUUGGCAGUCAGAGGCGAUGAAAGACGUGGUAGCCUGCGAAAAGCUUCGGGGAGUCGGCAAACAGACUUUGAUCCGGAGAUGUCUGAAUGGGGGAACCCAGCCAUCAUAAGAUGGUUAUCUUGUACUGAAUACAUAGGUGCAAGAGGCGAACCAGGGGAACUGAAACAUCUAAGUACCCUGAGGAAAAGAAAUCAACCGAGAUUCCCUUAGUAGUGGCGAGCGAACGGGGACUAGCCCUUAAGUGGCUUUGAGAUUAGCGGAACGCUCUGGAAAGUGCGGCCAUAGUGGGUGAUAGCCCUGUACGCGAAAAUCUCUUAGUCAUGAAAUCGAGUAGGACGGAGCACGAGAAACUUUGUCUGAAUAUGGGGGGACCAUCCUCCAAGGCUAAAUACUACUGACUGACCGAUAGUGAACUAGUACCGUGAGGGAAAGGCGAAAAGAACCCCGGAGAGGGGAGUGAAAUAGAUCCUGAAACCGUAUGCGUACAAGCAGUGGGAGCCCACUUUGUUGGGUGACUGCGUACCUUUUGUAUAAUGGGUCAGCGACUUAUUUUCAGUGGCGAGCUUAACCGAAUAGGGGAGGCGUAGCGAAAGCGAGUCUUAAUAGGGCGUCUAGUCGCUGGGAAUAGACCCGAAACCGGGCGAUCUAUCCAUGGGCAGGUUGAAGGUUGGGUAACACUAACUGGAGGACCGAACCGACUACCGUUGAAAAGUUAGCGGAUGACCUGUGGAUCGGAGUGAAAGGCUAAUCAAGCUCGGAGAUAGCUGGUUCUCCUCGAAAGCUAUUUAGGUAGCGCCUCAUGUAUCACUGUAGGGGGUAGAGCACUGUUUCGGCUAGGGGGUCAUCCCGACUUACCAAACCGAUGCAAACUCCGAAUACCUACAAGUGCCGAGCAUGGGAGACACACGGCGGGUGCUAACGUCCGUCGUGAAAAGGGAAACAACCCAGACCGUCAGCUAAGGUCCCAAAGUUAUGGUUAAGUGGGAAACGAUGUGGGAAGGCUUAGACAGCUAGGAGGUUGGCUUAGAAGCAGCCACCCUUUAAAGAAAGCGUAAUAGCUCACUAGUCGAGUCGGCCUGCGCGGAAGAUGUAACGGGGCUCAAACCAUACACCGAAGCUACGGGUAUCACUUAGGUGAUGCGGUAGAGGAGCGUUCUGUAAGCCUGUGAAGGUGAGUUGAGAAGCUUGCUGGAGGUAUCAGAAGUGCGAAUGCUGACAUGAGUAACGACAAUGGGUGUGAAAAACACCCACGCCGAAAGACCAAGGUUUCCUGCGCAACGUUAAUCGACGCAGGGUUAGUCGGUCCCUAAGGCGAGGCUGAAAAGCGUAGUCGAUGGAAAACAGGUUAAUAUUCCUGUACUUCUGGUUAUUGCGAUGGAGGGACGGAGAAGGCUAGGCCAGCUUGGCGUUGGUUGUCCAAGUUUAAGGUGGUAGGCUGGAAUCUUAGGUAAAUCCGGGAUUCUAAGGCCGAGAGCUGAUGACGAGUUACCCUUUGGGUGACGAAGUGGUUGAUGCCAUGCUUCCAAGAAAAGCUUCUAAGCUUCAGGUAACCAGGAACCGUACCCCAAACCGACACAGGUGGUUGGGUAGAGAAUACCAAGGCGCUUGAGAGAACUCGGGUGAAGGAACUAGGCAAAAUGGCACCGUAACUUCGGGAGAAGGUGCGCCGGUGAGGGUGAAGCACUUGCUGCGUAAGCCCACGCCGGUCGAAGAUACCAGGCCGCUGCGACUGUUUAUUAAAAACACAGCACUCUGCAAACACGAAAGUGGACGUAUAGGGUGUGACGCCUGCCCGGUGCCGGAAGGUUAAUUGAUGGGGUUAGCUAACGCGAAGCUCUUGAUCGAAGCCCCGGUAAACGGCGGCCGUAACUAUAACGGUCCUAAGGUAGCGAAAUUCCUUGUCGGGUAAGUUCCGACCUGCACGAAUGGCGUAACGAUGGCGGCGCUGUCUCCACCCGAGACUCAGUGAAAUUGAAAUCGCUGUGAAGAUGCAGUGUAUCCGCGGCUAGACGGAAAGACCCCGUGAACCUUUACUAUAGCUUUGCACUGGACUUUGAAUUUGCUUGUGUAGGAUAGGUGGGAGGCUUUGAAGCGUGGACGCCAGUUCGCGUGGAGCCAUCCUUGAAAUACCACCCUGGCAACUUUGAGGUUCUAACUCAGGUCCGUUAUCCGGAUCGAGGACAGUGUAUGGUGGGUAGUUUGACUGGGGCGGUCUCCUCCUAAAGAGUAACGGAGGAGUACGAAGGUGCGCUCAGACCGGUCGGAAAUCGGUCGUAGAGUAUAAAGGCAAAAGCGCGCUUGACUGCGAGACAGACACGUCGAGCAGGUACGAAAGUAGGUCUUAGUGAUCCGGUGGUUCUGUAUGGAAGGGCCAUCGCUCAACGGAUAAAAGGUACUCCGGGGAUAACAGGCUGAUACCGCCCAAGAGUUCAUAUCGACGGCGGUGUUUGGCACCUCGAUGUCGGCUCAUCACAUCCUGGGGCUGAAGCCGGUCCCAAGGGUAUGGCUGUUCGCCAUUUAAAGUGGUACGCGAGCUGGGUUUAGAACGUCGUGAGACAGUUCGGUCCCUAUCUGCCGUGGACGUUUGAGAUUUGAGAGGGGCUGCUCCUAGUACGAGAGGACCGGAGUGGACGAACCUCUGGUGUUCCGGUUGUCACGCCAGUGGCAUUGCCGGGUAGCUAUGUUCGGAAAAGAUAACCGCUGAAAGCAUCUAAGCGGGAAACUUGCCUCAAGAUGAGAUCUCACUGGGACCUUGAGUCCCCUGAAGGGCCGUCGAAGACUACGACGUUGAUAGGUGGGGUGUGUAAGCGCUGUGAGGCGUUGAGCUAACCCAUACUAAUUGCCCGUGAGGCUUGACCAUAUAACACCCAAGCAAUU